rnacentral:rRNA from 1 species
GUGUCAGCCGCCGCGGUAAUACGUAGGGGGCAAGCGUUGUCCGGAUUUAUUGGGCGUAAAGCGCUCGCAGGUGGUUCGUUGCGUCGUGCGUGAAAGACCCCGGCUCAACUGGGGAGGGUCGUGCGAUACGGGCGAACUGGAGGCCAGUAGGGGGAUGCGGAAUUCCGGGUGUAGUGGUGGAAUGCGUAGAGAUCCGGAGGAACACCAGCGGCGAAGGCGGCAUCCUGGACUGGUCCUGACACUCAGGAGCGAAAGCGUGGGGAGCGAUCCGGAUUAGAUACCCCCGUAGUCC